GACGGGACCGCACAAGCGGUGGAUGAUGUGGAUUAAUUCGAUGCAACGCGAAAACCUUACCUACCCUUGACAUGUCCGGAAUCCCGAAGAGAUUUGGGAGUGCUCGCAAGAGAACCGGAACACAGGUGCUGCAUGGCUGUCGUCAGCUCGUGUCGUGAGAUGUUGGGUUAAGUCCCGCAACGAGCGCAACCCUUGUCAUUAGUUGCCAUCAUUUGGUUGGGCACUCUAAUGAGACUGCCGGUGACAAACCGGAGGAAGGUGGGGAUGACGUCAAGUCCUCAUGGCCCUUAUGGGUAGGGCUUCACACGUCAUACAAUGGUCGGUACAGAGGGUUGCCAACCCGCGAGGGGGAGCUAAUCCCACAAAGCCGAUCGUAGUCCGGAUCGUAGUCUGCAACUCGACUGCGUGAAGUCGGAAUCGCUAGUAAUCGUGGAUCAGCAUGUCACGGUGAAUACGUUCCCGGGUCUU
rnacentral:rRNA from 1 species